CUCUUUUCCUCCUUCACGGAUCUGUGCCCAGCGAUCCUCUGCCGCUUCGGUGGUCAGGGUCGAUUGCUGCGGCAGUUCGGUGAGCCAAGGAGCCAUCUACUCUUCAUGAUGUCAAUUUCCACCCGACAGAUCCCAGAUCGAUCGAACUUCGAGGUAGUCUCGUUCGCUGUAAAAGGUUUGAGCGAGGUGAGCCGGAGUUCAAGACGCUAUAUUCCAAGCCGUUCGCUGAGACCGUCGGUCUAUGAGGCUGGGGAAAACCAUGGCACGUCCUACAUUU
rnacentral:sRNA from 1 species